AGUGAACGCUGGCGGCAGGCCUAAUACAUGCAAGUCGAACGGCAGCACAGCAGAGCUUGCUCUGUGGGUGGCGAGUGGCGGACGGGUGAGGAAUACAUGGGAAUCUGCCCAGUCGUGGGGGAUAACGUAUGGAAACGUACGCUAAUACCGCAUGCGCCCUAAGGGGGAAAGCCGGGGACCGCAAGGCCUGGCGCGAUUGGAUGAGCCCAUGUUCGAUUAGCUAGUUGGCGGGGUAAAGGCCCACCAAGGCGACGAUCGAUAGCUGGUCUGAGAGGAUGAUCAGCCACACUGGAACUGAGACACGGUCCAGACUCCUACGGGAGGCAGCAGUAGGGAAUAUUGGACAAUGGGGGCAACCCUGAUCCAGCCAUGCCGCGUGAGUGAAGAAGGCCCUCGGGUUGUAAAGCUCUUUUGUCCGGAAAGAAAGCAAUCGGUUAAUACCCGGUUGUUCUGACGGUACCGGAAGAAUAAGCACCGGCUAACUUCGUGCCAG
rnacentral:rRNA from 1 species